CCUGAUCUCAGCAUGCGGAGAGCUGAUGUGCUGCUCAACGUGGAUCCCCAAGCGAGAGACGCCUGCCUGUGGCGAAAAAAGCACAGCGGAAGAUGUUAGAUGAAGAAGUGCUCUGCGGUUCUGAUCCCACUGAGGCCUGCGCUGACCUCCAUGGACUGCCUGCAGAACGCCACCGUGGCCCCCGACGCACUGGAGUGUGCGAAGUGCUUCUGAUCCCGGGAAGUGUCAUCAAAGUGCAUCGCGAACCCCAGUGAGG
ensembl:lncRNA